GAGGGUAUAGCUCAGUGGUAGAGUGCACACUUAAGAUGCAUGAGGUCCUGGGUUCAAUCCCCAGUACCUCCA
rnacentral:tRNA from 1 species